rnacentral:rRNA from 1 species
CGCAUGUGCGCUGUGGAUACGCUUUUUUAUGCAGUCGAACGGCAGCACGGGGGCAACCCUGGUGGCGAGUGGCGAACGGGUGAGUAACACAUCGGAACGUGCCCAGUCGUGGGGGAUAACGUAGCGAAAGCUACGCUAAUACCGCAUACGAACUCUGGUUGAAAGCGGGGGAUCGCAAGACCUCGCGCGAUUGGAGCGGCCGAUGGCAGAUUAGGUAGUUGGUGGGGUAAAGGCUCACCAAGCCGACGAUCUGUAGCUGGUCUGAGAGGACGACCAGCCACACUGGGACUGAGACACGGCCCAGACUCCUACGGGAGGCAGCAGUGGGGAAUUUUGGACAAUGGGCGCAAGCCUGAUCCAGCCAUUCCGCGUGCAGGAUGAGGGGGCGCGGGUUGUAAACUGCUUUUGUACGGAACGAAACGGCCUGGGUUAAUACCUCGGGCUAAUGACGGUACCGUAAGAAUAAGCACCGGCUAACUACGUGCCAGCAGCCGCGGUAAUACGUAGGGUGCAAGCGUUAAUCGGAAUUACUGGGCGUAAAGCGUGCGCAGGCGGUGAUGUAAGACAGGUGUGAAUCCCCGGGCUUAACCUGGGAACUGCAUUUUGUGACUGCUCGCUGGAGUGCGGCAAAGGGGGAUGGAAUC